CAUCUAUGUUCCCUUGCAUCAUGCCUUUGCCUGGACUGAAUCUUUACCACAACUUUGCUAUCACCUAGUUUCUCCCCUCCCAACCCUUAGACCAAUCCCCAGCCCUGGGAAAGCUAUAGUAAAGCAUCCUUUCUCCCCUCCUAGGUCUACUGAAAGAAAACCUGAAAACUGGGUUUAAUGGCUUAAUGAAAAAUCCAUGCGAUCUAACUUUAAUUGGACCCUCAGGAUGGCUAAGUGAGCGAGGUGGAGUCAUUCCAGAGGACGGAAGGAGAACUUUGACACAAUUUCUAUCCUUAUAUGUUCCUCAAAAGGAUGCUAAGAUCUCACCUCCUCACUCACUUCACCUCCAUUUGGCAGUCAGUACGCCCUUGAAGAAUUGCCUUGUGGCACACAAAGGCCGAUGAAGAGCAUCAUAUUGACUGGUCCCAUGUAAACUCAAGGAGAAGGGGAUGAUACAAGGCAUAUAUAUAGUUGGUGGACAGAAUAUUGGGAGUCAUCCUAAAAUUCUGCCUACCACAGCUUCCAUUGUUGUUCAGCUUAUUAAAAAUAAAAGCAAAGCAAAAAUACACACACACACAUACAUGCACAUUUCCCCAUUAAACAACAGUGGCAUAUAAUAUAUACCUUACUCCAUAUUGUUUUUUGCACUUAAUAGUAUAUCUGGAGUCCAUUUUUUAGCAGUAUAUAUCAUCUUCAUUUUUUUGUAGUAGUUCAGUUCUUUAUUAAAGUAUACUAUAUUUAUUCAACCAUAUUUAUAUACCAUAUGCCAUAAGAUAACACCAUAUUUAUUCAAAUAUUUUCUAACUCUUAGUCAUUUUGAUUUUUUCCUAUAUUCUCUUUGCUAUUACAGAUAGUGCUGUAAUGAAUAGUUUGCAUAGCCUUUUUUUUCCCCGGGUCAAAGAAAUGUGCUAGAUGUUGUCAAAUUCCCCUAUAUCAAGUUGACACCAUUUUGCUUUCCCUCCUUCAAGAUACCUGGUACGGUUUUUAUUUGUGAUUUUCCUUUUGUGAGUGAGGUUAAGCAACUUAAAGGGGGAAUUUUUAUUCAUUUUUCUGUGAACUGUCUGUUCAUGUUCUUUGCUAUUCUUCUAUUGGGUUGUUGGGCUUCUCACAGUUUCUAGAGGCUCUCAAGUAGUUUAAUCAUUUUCCUGUGAUAUGGCAAGUAUUUUUCCCAGUUUGUCACUGUCUUUUGACUUAUGUUGUUUUGCUAUGGAAGAAACUUUCUUAUAUGUUGUUGAAUGUGUCAGUCUUUCAUUUCAGGGCUUCUGAAUUUUGAAUCAGAGACAGAAAGGCUUUGCCCAAUCAAUAAACAUAAUCCAACAUAUAAACAGAACCAAAGACAAAAACCACAAGGUUAUCUCAAUAGAUGCAGAAAAGGCCUUCGACAAAAUUCAACAGCCCUUCAUGCUAAAACCUCUCAAUAAAUUAGGUAUUGAUGGGACAUAUCUC
rnacentral:lncRNA from 10 species